rnacentral:tRNA from 1 species
UAUAUUUAAGUGUUAAGAUGCACAGAAAAUUUUGAAUUUUCAAGAAUGGUUUAAUUCCAUAAAAUAUAA